AAGCAUGUAACAAUUAUCAUUCGUAUACUUAAUAUUGAAAAGUCUUAAAUACGUAGUGCUGUUAGGUUAGAAUGUUGAUGAAUAUUGAAACUGUAGUGUACGUUGUUUUUGAUAUUUGGAUUUAAUGCAACUGCUGGAACGGACUGUCUCAACAACUGGACGGCUUUUGGUAACUCAUGUUACUUGUUUGGCCACCAAAGUCUCCCAUUCUACACGGCUGAGCAUUAUUGUCGCCAACAUAAUGGACACUUGGUGCAUAUCAAUGGAAAAGAAGAAAAUGUUUUCAUAAGAGAACAUCUAAGGUAUAUGAAAGGAAUUCGCUGGUGGAUUGGACUUACUGACGAUGACGUUGAGGGUACAUGGAUGUGGUACGACACGAACGAAGAGGCCAUGUAUACAGGUAUAAUAUUAUGUAUAAUUGCAAUUUUCAUUUCAUUAUUU
rnacentral:lncRNA from 1 species